GGGGAAAACCCUUUUGGGGAAUCGGGCUCGACUCUCCCACCCUUUGUGAACGUACCUCUGUUGCUUUGGCGGCUUCGGCCGCCAAAGGACCUUCAAACUCCAGUCAGUAAACGCAGACGUCUGAUAAACAAGUUAAUAAACUAAAACUUUCAACAACGGAUCUCUUGGUUCUGGCAUCGAUGAAGAACGCAGCGAAAUGCGAUAAGUAAUGUGAAUUGCAGAAUUCAGUGAAUCAUCGAAUCUUUGAACGCACAUUGCGCCCCUUGGUAUUCCGGGGGGCAUGCCUGUUCGAGCGUCAUUACAACCCUCAAGCUCUGCUUGGAAUUGGGCACCGUCCUCACUGCGGACGCGCCUCAAAGACCUCGGCGGUGGCUGUUCAGCCCUCAAGCGUAGUAGAAUACACCUCGCUUUGGAGCGGUUGGCGUCGCCCGCCGGACGAACCUUCUGAACUUUUCUCAAGGUUGACCUCGGAUCAGGUAGGGAUACCCGCUGAACUUAAGCAUAUCAAAGGCGGGAGGGAAAUCAUUACCGAGUUUUCGAGCUUCGGCUCGACUCUCCCACCCUUUGUGAACGUACCUCUGUUGCUUUGGCGGCUUCGGCCGCCAAAGGACCUUCAAACUCCAGUCAGUAAACGCAGACUCUGAUAAACAAGUUAAUAAACUAAAACUUUCACAACGGAUCUCUUGGUUCUGGCAUCGAUGAAGAACGCAGCGAAUGCGAUAAGUAAUGUGAAUUGCAGAAUUAGUGAAUCAUCGAAUCUUUGAACGCACAUUGCGCCCUUGGUUAUUCGGGGGGGCAUGCUGUUUCGAGCGUCAUUACAACCUCAGCUCUGCUGGAAUUGGGACCCUCUCACUGGCGGCGCGCCUCAGACCUCCGGCGGUGGCUGUUCACCUCCAGCGUGAUGAGAAUACCACUCGCUUGGACGUUGAGUGCGCCCGGAGAACUUCUGAACUUUCUCAGGUGGACUCGUGACUG
rnacentral:rRNA from 1 species